rnacentral:tRNA from 1 species
ACUUAGAUAGCUUAUUUAGAGUUUAAUAUUGAAGAUAUUAAGGAGAUUGUAAAAGUCUUUAAGUA